rnacentral:sRNA from 12 species
AGAAGUAUGCAAUAAUAGCUUAUAAGAUGCUUUGGUGUUCCCUCGGAAAAUCCUGGGCAUGACUAAGAAAUUGGUCAUAAAACUAAAGACUAUCAUCUUGUGAGACGCUACUUCU